GACGAACGCUGGCGGCGUGCCUAAUACAUGCAAGUCGAACGCUGAAGGAGGAGCUUGCUUCUCCGGAUGAGUUGCGAACGGGUGAGUAACGCGUAGGUAACCUGCCUGGUAGCGGGGGAUAACUAUUGGAAACGAUAGCUAAUACCGCAUAAGAGUAGAUGUCGCAUGACAUUUGCUUAAAAGGUGCAACUGCACCACUACCAGAUGGACCUGCGUUGUAUUAGCUAGUUGGUGAGGUAACGGCUCACCAAGGCAACGAUACAUAGCCGACCUGAGAGGGUGAUCGGCCACACUGGGACUGAGACACGGCCCAGACUCCUACGGGAGGCAGCAGUAGGGAAUCUUCGGCAAUGGACGGAAGUCUGACCGAGCAACGCCGCGUGAGUGAAGAAGGUUGUCGGAUCGUAAAGCUCGGUUGUAAGAGAAGAACGAGUGUGAGAGUGGAAAGUUCACACUGUGACGGUAUCUUACCAGAAAGGGACGGCUAACUACGUG
rnacentral:rRNA from 1 species